CAACCCCUCAAGCUCAGCUUGGUGUUGGGGCCUGCCGCGCUGGCAGCCCUUAAAAUCAGUGGCGGUGCCAUCUGGCUCUAAGCGUAGUAAUUCUUCUCGCUACAGGGUCCUGGUGAGCGCUUGCCAUCAAGCCUAUACUUUCUAU
rnacentral:misc_RNA from 1 species